AUCUACCCUUGGUCAGGUUGAAGUUCAGGUAACACUGAAUGGAGGACCGAACCGACUUACGUUGAAAAGUGAGCGGAUGAACUGAGGGUAGCGGAGAAAUUCCAAUCGAACCUGGAGAUAGCUGGUUCUCUCCGAAAUAGCUUUAGGGCUAGCCUCAAGUGAUGAUUAUUGGAGGUAGAGCACUGUUUGGACGAGGGGCCCCUCUCGGGUUACCGAAUUCAGACAAACUCCGAAUGCCAAUUAAUUUAACUUGGGAGUCAGAACAUGGGUGAUAAGGUCCGUGUUCGAAAGGGAAACAGCCCAGACCACCAGCUAAGGUCCCAAAAUAUAUGUUAAGUGGAAAAGGAUGUGGCGUUGCCCAGACAACUAGGAUGUUGGCUUAGAAGCAGCCAUCAUUUAAAGAGUGCGUAAUAGCUCACUAGUCGAGUGACACUGCGCCGAAAAUGUACCGGGGCUAAACAUAUUACCGAAGCUGUGGAUUGUCCUUUGGACAAUGGUAGGAGAGCGUUCUAAGGGCGUUGAAGCAUGAUCGUAAGGACAUGUGGAGCGCUUAGAAGUGAGAAUGCCGGUGUGAGUAGCGAAAGACGGGUGAGAAUCCCGUCCACCGAUUGACUAAGGUUUCCAGAGGAAGGCUCGUCCGCUCUGGGUUAGUCGGGUCCUAAGCUGAGGCCGACAGGCGUAGGCGAUGGAUAACAGGUUGAUA
rnacentral:rRNA from 1 species